UUUAAUGGGUCUUCGUAUGAGAGAAAGGGAGGGGAUUGGGCUGUGUAAUCUUAAUCCUAGGUCAAGAUGGUGACUUUGUCAAGUGAUCUUGGCCAAUUCACCUCACCUCACUCACCUCCAGUUUUUAGCUGCUAAACUAGAGAUAGUAUUAUCUUCAUAGGGAGUUCAAAGAGGAUUAGAUAACACAAAUAAAUACUGUGAUGUCUGAAUCACUAGAAAUCAGGGGCGAUCGUUAGUCUUCGAUGAUGAACACUAUUUGUGUUGGGGUAACUGAGAAAUUACAUUUGAGUAUACACUAGGAUAUUCAGCUAGUGCAGUGUGGAGCAAGCUGAAGCCUUGAAUGAUUGAGAUUUUUUGACUGGUCUCAUUUUAUUCAUAACCUUAGCAGUAUUUUCUGUCUCCUGAUUUUUCUUUUUUCCUCUCAGUUUGGCUAAAUGAAAUGAGGCUCGAUCUCACCGUACUAAAGACUGAUUUCCCGAUCAAGGCCAGUGGAAAGGAAGGAAAACAACAAAUGAAUUUGUGCACAGAGCUGGUUUCAUAGCUUGCUGUCUGCCAAGCAGGCAUGAGCAAGACUUCCAAGGCGUAGACACAACACACCCUAAUCCUUCAAGUUUAAGGUGUUCAUAUGCAAGUGGAAAAUCCCAUGCUAAAUAAUCAAGACGGAGUUAACUCUCACCUCCUUUUAAAAUCCUCCCUUAAAGAUUCGCAUGCAUCACAAUGAAAAACACAAGCUUGAGCUACGAGAACAUUUCUGUUCCUUAAGCCGCCCAAUUUGUGGUGUUGUUAUGUCAGCCCAGGCUGACUAAUACUCAGUGGAAACAGCUUUUUCUGAGGGAAGUCUGGUUGAACCAAGACCACACUAGGCUUAGUUGACCUGUCGUGCAGAUACUGGCUAAAAACGGGUAGUUACCAGGUUUCGUAUUCUCAUGCUCUAAAAUAAAUGUUGCGAGUCAGUAAACCCUCA
rnacentral:lncRNA from 1 species